rnacentral:lncRNA from 1 species
UGAUUAGGGCUCACCCAUGUCAUUAGGUAAAUCAGUGUGACUGAUUUAGGUGCUCCUAAUGCUGGCUUUAAUUAAAUCCUUUUUAAUCUGACUUGGUGAAGUCAGUAGGAAGAUUGAAAUUGACUGGUUAAUUUCUUCUCUUCUAUCCUUUAAUAAAAUUCUCAAAAAUUAUUAGGUCCCUAAAAAUGAUUAAGUUAUAGUGAUAACUA